rnacentral:rRNA from 1 species
CGUUGAUUACGUCCCUGCCCUUUGUACACACCGCCCGUCGCUACUACCGAUUGAAUGGCUCAGUGAGGCCUUCGGACUGGCUCAGGGAGGUCGGCAACGACCACCCAGAGCCGGAAAGUUCGUCAAACUCGGUCAUUUAGAGGAAGUAAAAGUCGUAACAAGG